GUACUACUCCCUCCGUUCGGAAUUACUUGUCGCAAAAAUGAAUGUAUCUAGAUGUAUUUUAGUUCUAGAUACAUCCAUUUCCGAGACAAGUAAUUGCGAACGGAGGGAGUACAUA
rnacentral:pre_miRNA from 1 species